UGAAUACGAGACGCUACGGCGUUGAAGCAGUCUAUGUCAUACUUCCAAGAAAAGCUCGCAAUGUCAUAAACAAAUAAUGCCUGUACCAUAACCGACACAGGUGGGUAGGUAGAGUAUACUAAGGGGCGCGAGAUAACUCUCUCUAAGGAACUCGGCAAAAUGACUCCGUAACUUCGGGAGAAGGAGUGCCUUAUUUAUAAGGUUGCAAUAACAAGAUCCAAGCAACUGUUUAUCAAAACCACAGGUCUCCGCUAAGUCGUAAGACGAUGUAUGGGGGCCGACGCCUGCCCAGUGCCAGAAGGUUAAAGAAGUUGGUUAGCAUUCGCGAAGCUGAUAACUGAAGCCCUGGUGAACGGCGGCCGUAACAAUAACGGUCCUAAGGUAGCGAAAUUCCUUGUCGGGUAAGUUCCGACCCGCACGAAAGGCGUAAUGAUUUGGAUACUGUCUCGGAGAGGGGCUCGGUGAAAUAGACUUGUCUGUGAAGAUGCGGACUACCUGCACCUGGACAGAAAGACCCUAUGAAGCUUUACUGUAACCUGAAAUUGAAAUUGGACUUUAUUUGCGCAGUAUAGGUGGGAGGCGUUGAGAGUAUUCUUGCGGGAAUAUUGGAGCCAUCAGUGAGAUACCACUCUUGUAAUGUUAGAUUUCUAACUUUGUAUCAUGAUCUGGUCAAAGAACAGUUUCAGGCGGGCAGUUUGACUGGGGCGGUCGCCUCCCAAACGGUAACGGAGGCGUACAAAGGUUUCCUCUGAACGGGUAGAAAUCGUAUCUAGAGUGUAAAGGCAUAAGGAAGCUUGACUGUGAGACCUACAAGUCGAGCAGGGACGAAAGUCGGUCUUAGUGAUCUGACGGUGCUGAGUGGAAAGGCCGUCACUCAACGGAUAAAAGUUACUCUAGGAUAACAGGCUGAUCUCCCCCAAGAGUUCACAUCGACGGGGAGGUUUGGCACCUCGAUGUCGGCUCAUCGCAUCCUGGGGCGGUAGUACGUCCCAAGGGUUGGGCUGUUCGCCCAUGAAAGCGGUACGCGAGCUGGGUUCAGAACGUCGUGAGACAGUUCGGUCCAUAUCCGGUGUAGGCGUUAGAAUAUUGAGAGGAGCCUUCUUUAGUACGAGAGGACCGAGAAGGACAUACCUCUGGUGUACCAGUUAUCGUGCCAACGGUAAACGCUGGGUAGCUAUGUAUGGAGAGGAUAACCGCUGAAAGCAUCUAAGUGGGAAGCCCACCUCAAGAUAAGUA
rnacentral:rRNA from 1 species